rnacentral:rRNA from 1 species
GACGAACGCUGGCGGCGUGCUUAACACAUUCAAGUCGAACGGAAAGGCCCCUUUGGGGGUACUCGAGUGGCGAACGGGUGAGUAACACGUGAGUAACCUGCCCUUGACUUCGGGAUAACUUCAGGAAACUGGGGCUAAUACCGGAUAGGAAUCCUUGCUGCAUGGUGGGGGUUGGAAAGCUUCGGCGGUUUUGGAUGGACUCGCGGCUUAUCAGCUUGUUGGUGGGGUAGUGGCUUACCAAGGCUUUGACGGGUAGCCGGCCUGAGAGGGCGACCGGCCACAUUGGGACUGAGAUACGGCCCAGACUCCUACGGGAGGCAGCAGUGGGGAAUAUUGCACAAUGGGCGGAAGCCUGAUGCAGCAACGCCGCGUGCGGGAUGACGGCCUUCGGGUUGUAAACCGCUUUCAGCAGGGGCGAAGCUUGUGGUGACGGUACCUGCAGAAGAAGCACCGGCUAACUACGUG